rnacentral:lncRNA from 1 species
AAAAAAGCCUCUGAAAACUUCAAAAAAGCUCUCCCCCCUUCUGGUCGUUCGGUCAACGGUUGGUCACCGGCCACCGCGCCGGCCGCCGCACCGUCUGCGGUGGCCGGAAAAGGGGAAAAAUUCCCCAUUCAGCCUUUUAGACCCCCCUAUGCCCAAAUCUGGGCUCAAAUCCGUCGAAAUAAAAGCAGAGACGCCUCAAAAACCCAAGAAACCUUUCGGUUUCCGACCGCCUUUCCUCGGAGACGGCUACCUCGAAUGCUCACGGCGGUUUAGGCUCCAAACGCAGGUUGUUUCUUUCCUUUCCUUAUAUGUUUUAGUAAAAUAAAAAUAUAAACGCAGAACACAACAAAUCAAAGUAAACAAAAAAAAAAUAAUAUAGACCUUUGAAUUGAUUCUCCGCUUUCAAUAUGUUGAACUCUCUGUUUGUGUAAGAAUAAUUAUUUUUUAUUUGAUUUCCCCCUCUCUCUUACAAUAUUACCAUGGCUAUUUUAUAGCCGUAUGAAAUAAAUUUAAAGAGGAAGCAAAUCUGUUUCUUGAUUUGAUUUACAAAUCUUUUGAUUAGCUUUCUAUUUUCGUUUUUUCCUUGAUGCGCAGGUGAAGAUCCACGGAGAUUCGGAGCUUGGCUUGCGGCGCUGUUGAAACCCUAGGGUUUCUGUCUGUAAUUUGGGCCAUCGUAGUUUGGGCCCUCGUUUGUUUUAUUAAUUGGGCCAUAUGGGCCUAUUUGUAAUGCCGGUCUUUUAGACCCAAGCAAAAUCCGGCAUGUACAUUGACAUGAACAAGACAUGCAAUAAGAUUAACUGAAACUUUGUCAAAUGUGUAUUGUCCUUCAUGGGUUUUAGUGAGAGAUGGAUUGAUUUCAUUAUGUCGUGUUUUUCAUCAAUG